AUGUUCCCGGUGCACCUGAUGGACUGCUGGUCUAUGUACAUCCUGGACACAACCCAGAAAGAGAUGAUGGUACUCGACCCAACAGAAACCUAUCCAUCAGAUGAGAUGAAGAUAAAGCAUGAUUCGCUCGCUAGGAAGUUCCAGCAAAGAUUUUGCUGUCUUAUGAAUGACGGCGUUGGUGGCGGCGGGGAUCUUGCCCCUCUUCUCGCGGUUGGCGUCCGACGCGGGACGGCGCGGCGCGGGACGACGCUGGGCUGGGCGGGGCCUAGCGGCGCGGCAGAGGGCGUGCUGGGUGGCGGCGGUGCAGCUGCGGCUUGA
rnacentral:rRNA from 1 species